rnacentral:lncRNA from 1 species
UAUCAUUAUAAUGAAAACAUGUCUGUAUAACAAAUUGACUUCAGGCUCCACCUGACACCCACAGGUCUCGAACGUCAUUUGAAACCACAAGUGAAAAGUUAGAAAAGUUUGAGGAGUUUGUUUCAAUGGGAGCUGUGGUCUGAAUGUCCCCCCCUGAAAAAUGCGUAUGUUGAAACCUAUCCCCCAGUGCAGUAAUAUUAGAAAGUGGGGCCUUUAAGAGAUGAUUAGAUCCCACAGGCAGAGUCCUUAUGAUGGGAGUAGUGCCCUCAACAGAGUGAGACCCCCUUCUUCCCCAUGAGGACGCAGCAAGAAGGCGCCAUCUAUGAACAAGACACCCGAAUCUGCCAGUGCCUUGAUCUUGGACUCCCAGCCUCCAGAACUGUAAGCAAUAAAUAUUGUUUAUAAGCCACUCAGUUUAUAGUAUUUUUGUUAUAGCCGCCCAAAUGGAUGAGGUUGAUCCUUUCCCCCGAGAAACUGAGAACAGGCAUAUAGAACAUAUAUAUAUAUAUAUAUAUAUAUAAAAUAUAUAUAGCAAGUUGACAUUGUGACACCCAAGUGUAUGAUUAGAGGACUCAUCUUUUUGAACAAGAAAUAGACGAGGCUGGGUAUUGCUGAACUCCUAUGGUUAUCACAGUAGGAACACAUAGUGGUCUGCUAUAAACUGGAAGAAAGUAGUUUGAGAAACAUGGUUCUAAGCUACCCUCUUAGCUUGAAAGCCACUCAGGAAAGAGCUUCCCAUCACCCUGGCUCCACUGUUAUGUCUACAUCAGUGCAGCCCAUAUGAAGUGUGCUCAGUGGAUCCUUGUGCAUUUUUAUUGAUUUUGGGCCUGAGGCUUCUGGACAAAUAAACACAGUUGUGAGAACUAGGCUAUUCCAGUCCUUAGGAUUGCCCUCUACCCAGAAAAAGCCUAAACAGAGCAGAAAAGCCUAGUUGGAGCAAGCAUUCUCUUAAGGGCCUAGAAAAACUUGAGCCCCAGACAUUGUUCCAAGGCUAGUCCUGCCUUCAUGUCUUGCCAGAUGCAGAGAUGGUUAGUGGCUACUUCCAGUAUCACUUCUCUACUUCUCCUUACUUCCUCUUUACUUGCUAGCCACAUUGUGACCAAAAAUAAAAUAUUAAUCUCCCAGCCUCCCUUGCUGCUAGAUAUGACCAUGUGACUUGUGGCCCAGAAAGCUGAAUUCAGUGGGCCUUUCAGGAAGGCAGUCUAAAGAGAGCUAACUUAGCAUGGAAGGCCUCUCUUUUUCUUUACUUUCCUUCUUUUUCUGGCUUAUAACUCCAGAAGCCCAUUUUGGACCAUGAAGCAAUCUGAAGGAUGGAAGCCAUAUGCUAGAAUGCAGCAGCAGAAAGACUGAUGAAACCUAGGUCCCACCAACCCUGGAUGCCUGCCUCCAAACUUACUUUCUUUUUCUUUUUUUUGAGACAGAGUCUCGCUCUUGUUGCCUAGGCUGGAGUGCAGUGGUGCGAUCUUGGCUUACCACAACCUCCACCUCCCGGGUUCAAGCGAUUCUCCUGCCUCAACCUCCCGAGUAGCUGGGAUUACAGGCACAUGCCACCACACUCAGCUAAUUUUUGUAUUUUUAGUAGAGAAAGGGUUUCCCCAUGUUGGUCAGGUUGGUCUCGAACUCCCGACCUCAGGUGAUCCGCCCACCUUGGCCUCCCAAAGUGCUGGGAUUACAGGCUUGAGCCACCGCUCCCGGCAUGCCUGCCUCGAAACUUUCUUUAGAGAAGGAAGAAAGAGGCUACUAUUAUUUUUGGUAAUUCUUAGGUUUUCCUGUUUCAUGCAGCCAGUUGAUUCAUAAGCCAAAGUUUGCCUUUUCUCCUUUGUUCACUGACAAUAAUCCAUGAAGCAGCGAGGCCCUGUCCAUCUGUCAUCCUGGACAUUGCUAAGGAAAGCAAACUGGUAGGACAGCAAUCUGCUUACACAGUCUCUCAGGCAAAUUUGCACUUACAAGAGGACCACCAGAAAAAGCACUGUUUCACCCAAAAGAAGCUUUGUGGUAUUACACGGAAAUAAAAUUUGGGAUCUUUCAAUUUUUCUGUGUAGAUCUAAAUACAUGUAGACUCUGAGAAAUGUAUGAAGUGCAUCCUCCAGCCAUUGGUAGCCACGAGUAGGGAUUUUGUCACAGUUAUGAGAGGAAAAAUGAAAGUUAACCAGUUACUUUUAAGAUUCAGACAAACGUGUUUGGAAGGCUGUAAAUUAAUGACUUGUUGGAUGGAGACAUUAUGCAAGUUAAUUUUCCAGUCUUCAGAAAACAUUUUCAAAGGGAAAUUAUAUUCUCCAACAUAUAUUUGGAGAAUCAUUUGAUAUUUGUAUCAAACAUUUUAAAGAAAUGUUGCUCUUCUCCAGAAUAAUUACAUAUAAGACUGAACUCUUCUCUGAAAACAACUGAACAUUUUUCAGAGUUAAUAAAUAAAUUGUUUCUGAAUACAGAAGUCAACAGUUCUGAGAUUUACAAAUGAUUAGAUGAGUUUACUCACUGAGAAGUGUCACACAACUAGUAUAACAAAUGUCAACAUUCCCCUAAACACUGUAAUUUGUACACUGCAUGUAGGCAUAGCAUCUAGAAACUCAUUUUGAACACCUUGGGAAAAUUAAUGGAACAUAUUAACAAUUGGAAAACAAUGCUGCAGACUUCCCCAGCACCUCACCCUUUAAUUUUUUUUUUUUUUUUUUUUGAGGCAGGGUCUCAUUCUGUCUCCCAGGCUGGAGUACAAUGGCGUGAUCUCAGCUCACUGCAACCUGCAGCCUCCUAGGCUCAAGUGAUUCUCCCACCUCAGCCUCUCAAGUAGCUGGCACGAUGCCCAACUAAUUUUUGUGUGUGUUUUUUUUUUUUUUGUAGAGACAGGGUUUCACCAUGUUGACCAGAAUAGUCUAAAACUCCUGAGCUCAGGUGAUCUGCCUGCCUUGGCCUACCAAAGUGCUGGGAUUACAGAUGUGAGCCACUGCGCCUGGCCCUCACCCUUUAAUUUAAUGGGCCAAUGUACAAAUCCCUAGUCAGAUGUGAAGUCCUUCCAUUUGAAGAAUGAGGGUUAUCUUAAAGAAAGGAACAGGCUGGGUGCGGUGGCUCAUGCCUGUAAUCCCAGUACUUUGUGUGGCCGAGAUGGGUGGAUUACCUGAGGUCAGGAGUUUGAGACCAGCCUGGCCAACAUGGUGAAACCCCGUGUCUACUAAAAAUACAAAAAUUAGCCGGGCGUGGUGGCACAUGCCUGUAAUCCCAGCUACUCAGGAGGCUGAGGCAGAAGAAUUGCUUGAGCCCGGGAGAUGGCCGUUGCAGUGAGCCAAGAUUGUGCCACUGCACCCCAGCCUGGCCGACAGAGCAAGGCUCUGUACCCCCUGCAAAAUAAAUAAAUAAAUACAAAUAAAUAACAAGAAAGGAACAAAGAAAAUAAUUUUUGACAAAGUGCUGGGUAGAACCACUUGCAGCAACAUUAAUUUAUUUACAUUGAACUUUCCAAAUGCAUUUAUGAGAUAUCUUUUGGUUGAUGUGGUUUUCUCUUGAGCUUGAGAUUCCUUAUAGCCUAUCUCCAUUAGGAAAGAGGGAGUGGUAUAACAAAUUAAAUGCCUCAAAGAAGCACUAUGUAUUCAAUGACAGUUGGCUAAGAGAAGACUGAGAAAGUAGUUUCAUUUGUUUUGUUUUUCUUUUCUCGAUAGGUGCUUUUAGUUCUGUGAGCUGACAUGCUUAGAGCCCAGCCAAGAACACAAGGCCAAGUCUUCAAUUGCUAAUCAAAUAAAUAAGCCUAAAUCCUGAAUGUAAACUUCAUGCCUUUUAUAAUAAUCACAGUUGAAUAGGCUUGGCUGGACUUCAGUCAUCUAUCACUAGCAGUUUGCACUUGCAUUUGGGAGUGUUUCACAGACCCAGUUCCACUAUCCUCUUCCCAGCCCAAGCCCAUCCCUUGGCAUGUCCUCUUCACAGACUGUGGUCAGUACAGUGAGUCCGUGGCCUAGGCUUGCUUUGGCUGCCACACCCUCAGCUGGAGUGACAAGGCUGGCAGAAUGAGGCAGAAAGAGUAGAUGAGCUGUUGGCGAUGAUCACAGGGUUCUUUCCCACAAACACCUUCUGUUCUUGCCCUUUACUGCUUUUUAAACACUUUAUCUAUUGUUUUUGUUUCGUUGGAAUGUUAAUUUGCAGAAAUAAUAUAUGCAAUAUAGGAUUAUAUUCUAUUUGUAAAAAAUUAAAACUUCUAACUCAAUGGCGUCAUGAAUCAACUGGAUAUAGUUGACAUCUAUAGACUACUUCAUCUCACAACAGAAGACUGCACAUUCUUCUCAAGCUUACAUGGAACAUGCAAGAUAGGCCAUAUUCUGAGCUAUAAAACACACUUUAACCAAUUUAAAAGCAUAGCAAUCAGGCCGGGCAUGGUGGCUUAGCUCACGCCUGUAAUUCCAGCACUUUGGGAGGCCGAGAUGGGCGGAUCACUUGAGGUCAGGAGUUCGAGACCAGCCUGGCCAACAUGGUGAAGCCCUGUCUCUACCAGGAAAGAAAGAAAUAAAGAAAGAGAGAGAGAGAGAAAGAAAGAAAGAGAGAGGGAGAGAGAGGGAGGGAGGGAGGGAAAGAGAGAAAGAAAGAAAGAAAAAGAAAGAAAGAAAGAAGGAAAGAAAGAAAGGGAAAGAGAGAGAGAGAAAGAAAGGGAAAGAGAGAGAGAAAGAAAGAAAGGGAAAGAGAGAGAGAAAGAAAGAAAGAAAAAGAAAGAAAGAAAGGAAUCAUACCACGUGUACCACUAGGCCACAAUGGAAUUAAACUAGAGAUCAAUAACCAAAAAAACCCCAGAAUACUUGAAAAUAAACAAAACACUUCUAAAUAAUACAUGGGUCAGAGAAGAAAUCUCAAGAGAAAUUUAAAAAUAUUAGGAAAAAUGUUUGGAAAAUGAAAAUUCAACUUGUUAAAAUUUGUGAGUUACAGCAAAAGCAGUGCCUAAAGGGCAAUUUUAGCAUUGAAUGCAUGUAUUAGAACAGAGGAAGAUCUAAAUCACUAAUAUAAGCUUCUACCUUAGGAAACUAGAAAAAAAGAGUAAUUUAAAUUCAAAGAAAGCAGAAGAAAAGACUUGAUAAAAACUGGAACAGACAUCAGUGAAAUUGAAAACGGGAAAUCAAUAGAGAAAAUCGGUGAAACCAAAAUUGUCUUUUAAAAAAGAUCAAGGCCGGGUGUGGUGGCUCACGCCUGUAAUCCCAGUGCUUUGGGAGGCCAAGGCAGGUGGAUCACAAGGUCAGGAAUUUGAGACCAGCCUGGCCACAAUAGUGAAACCCUGUCUCUACUAAAAAUACAAAAAUCAGCUGGGUGUGGUGGCAUACACCUGUAGUCCCAGCUGCUUGGGAGGCUGAGGCAGGAUAAUCACUUGAACCCAGGAGGUAGAGGUUGCAGUGGGCCAAGACUGUGCCACUGCACUCCAGCCUGGGCGACAGAGCAAGACUCCGUCUCAAAAAAAAAAAAAAAGAAAAAGAAAAAAGUCAAUAAAAUUGAUAAGCCUCUAGCCAGACUAAGAAAAAAAGAGAGAUGACACAAAUAACUAAUAUCAGAAAUGAAAGACAGGACAUCACUACAGAUUUCUUGAAAAUUAAAGGGAUAAUAAAGGAAUACUAUGAACAACUCCAUGGCCACACAUUUUAUAAACUAGAUAAAAUGGACUGAUUUCCUGAAAGACACAAUCUGCCAAAACUCAUGCAAGAAGAAAUAGACAAUUUAAAUAGGCCUAUAUCUAUUGUCUGGGCAUGGUGGCUUAUACCUGUAGUCCCAAAGCUUUGGGAGGCCAAGGUGGGAGGAUUGCUUGAGGCCAGGAGGUUGAGACCAGCCUGAGCAAUUUAGCAAGACCUCAUCUCAUAAAAAAAAAAAAAUUUAAAAACUAGCUGAGCAUGGUGGCAUGCACCUGUAGUCCCAGUUACUCAGGAGGCUGAGGCAGGAGGAUUGCAUGAGCCUGGGAGUUUGAGAUUGCAGUGAGCUGUGAUUGUGCCACUGCACUCCAGCCUGGGCAACAGAAUGUGACUCUGUCUCUAAAAUAAAUAAACAAACAAUAGGCAUAUAUCUAGUAAAGAAAUUAGUUCAAUAAUUAAUAAUCUUCCAAAAUAGAACACACCAUUCCCAGAUUUGUUCACAAGUGAGUUCUACCAAACUUUUUUUUUUUUUUUUUUUGAGACAGAGUUUCGCUCUUGUUGCCCAGGAUGGAGUGCAAUGGCACGAUCUCGGCUCACCACAACCUCCAUCUCCUGAGUUCAAACAAUUCUCCUGCCUUAGCCUUCCAAGUAGCUGGGAUUACAGGCAUGUGCCACCAUGCCCAUGGCUAAUUUUGUAUUUUUAGUAGAGACGAAGUUUCUCCAUGUUGGUCAGGCUGGUCUUGAACUCCCAACCUCAGGUGAUCUGCCCGCCUCAUCCUUCCAAAGUGCUAGGAUUACAGGUGUGAGCCACUAUGCCUGGCCUUAGUUCUACCAAACACGUAAAGAAGAAAUUAUACUGAUGCUGUACAAUCUCUUCCAGAAGACAGAAGCAGAGGAAAUACUUCCUAACUCAUUCAGCGAGGCCAGCAUUAGCCUAAUACCAAACCAAGACAAAGACAUUAUAAAGAAAGAAGACUAUAGACAAAUAUAUCUCAUGAAUAUAGAGGCAAAAACGCUCAACAAAAUACUAGCAAAUUGAUUUUACUUAUUUUAUAUUAUUUGUAUUGUAGAGAUGAGAUCUCACUAUGUUCCUUAGGCUGGUUUCGGACUCCUGAGCUCAAGCAAUCCUCCUGCCUCAACCUCCCAAAGUGCUAGGAUUAUAGGCAUGAGCCAACACACCUGGCCAAUACUAGCAAAUUGAAUCAAACAAUGUAUAAUAAGAAUUUUACAAUACAAUGAAGUGGAAUUUAUUCUAGGCAUGCAAGCCUGGUUCAGCAUUCAAAAAUCAAUGAAAUCAAACAGGCUAAAGAAGAAAAAUCACAUGUUCAUAACAAUAAAUGCAGAAUUAUAUUUUACAAAAUCUAACAUUCAUCUGUGAUAAAAACUUAGUAAACAAGGAUUAGCGGGGAAGUUCCUUAACUGGAUAAAGAAUAUUUACAAAAAGCCUGCAGCUAAUAUGGUACAGCUACAGCUUCUAGUUUCUCACCAUUAAGGUGAGAAAUUAGAAGCUUUCCCAUGAAGAUCAAGAAGAAAGCAAGGAUGUCCCCUCUCACCACCCCUUACAACAUCAUUACAGAAGGUCCUACCCAAUGCAUUAAGACAAGAAAAGGACAUAAAAGGCAUAUUGACUGGGAAAAAGUAAAUAAAAUGUCUUUGUUCACUGUUGACAUGAUCAACUAUACAGAACAUCUGAAAGAAUCAACCAAAAACUCCUGACACUAAAAGUGAUUAUAGGAAGGUUGUAGAAAACAAGAUUAGUAAAUAUAGAAGUCAAUUACUAUCCUAUAUACCAGCUACUAAAAAGGGGCAUUUGAAAUUAAAAAUGCAGUACCAUUUACAUUAGUAUACUUAAAAAAUUAAAAACUUAAGUAUGAAUCUAACAAAAUAUGUAUAAGAUCUAUAUAUCAGAAAACUACUGAUACGGUUUGGCUCUGUGUCCCCAUCCAAAUCUCUUUUUUUUUUUCUUUUUUUUUUUUUGAGACGGAGUCUUGCUCUGUCCCCCAGGCUGGAGUGCAGUGGCACAAUCUCAGCUCACUGCAACCUCCACCUCCUGGGUUCAAGUGAUUCUUCUGCCCCAACCUUCGGAGUAGCUGGGACUACAGGUGCAUGCCACCAAGCCCAGCUAAUUUUUUGUAUUUUUAGUAGAGAUGGGGUUUCACUGUGUUAGCCAGGAUGGUCUCGAUCUCCUGACCUCAUGAUCCGCCCACCUCAGCCUCCCAAAGUGCUGGGAUUACGGGGGUGAGCCACUGCACCCGGCUGUCCCCAUCCAAAUCUUAUCUCGAAUUGUAAUCCCCACAUGUUGAGGGAGGAACCAGGUGGAGGUGAUUGAAUCAUGAGGGCGGUUUUCUCCAUGCUGCUCUCAGGGGAUCUAAUAGUUUUAUAAGGGGCUCUUUCCCCAUCACUCUGCUGCUCUUCUCUCUCUUGCCACCUUCUGAAAAGGUGCCUUCCACAAUGAUUGUAAGUUUCCUGAGGCCUCCUCAGCCAUGUGAACUGUGAAUCAAUUAAACCACUUUAUAAAUUAUCCAGUCUCAGGCAGUUUUUUUUUUCUUUUUUCUUUUUUGAGAUGGAGUCUCGCUCUGUUGCACAGGUUGGAGUGCAGUGGUGCGAUCUCAGCUCACUGCAACCUCCACCUCCCACGUUCUAGUAAUUCUCCUGCUUCAGCCUCCUAAAUAGCUGGGACUACAGGCAUGUGCCACCAUGCCCAGCUAUUUUUUUUUUGUAUUAGUAGAGACGGGUUUGCCAUGUUGGCCAGGCUGGUCUCAAACUCCUGACCUCAGGUGAUUUGUCGUGCAAUUCUUUAUAGCAAUGUGAGAACAGACUAAUACAACUACAACACUCUGAUAUAAGAAAUCAAAGAGGAACUAAAUAAAUGGAGAAAUGUUUUAUGUUCAUGGAGAGGAAGACUUAAUAUUGUCAAGAUGUCAGUUCUUCCCAGCUUGAUCUAUAGAUUCAGUGCAAUCCCAAUCAAAUCCCAGCAAGUAAUUUUGUAGAUAUUGAAAAACCGAUUCCAAGAUUUAUAUAGAGAAGCAAAAGAUCCAGAAUUGCCAACACAAUAUUGAAUGAAAAGAACAAAGUCAGAGGACUGACACUACCUGACUUCAAGAACUACUAUAAAGUUGUAGUAAUCAAGACAGUGUGGUAUUGGCCAAAGAAUACACAGAUAUAUGGAACAGAAGAGAGAGCCAAGAAAUAGAUCUAUAUAGUCAACUGACCUUUGACAAAAAAGCAAAAGCAAUACAAUGAAGCAAAUAUAGUGUUUUCAACAAAUGGUACUGGAACAAUUGGACAUCCACGUGCAAAAGAAAAAAAAAGAAUUUAGACACAGACCUUACAUCCUUUACAAAAUUUAACUCUAAAUGAAUUGUAUACCUAAAUGUAAAAUGCAAAACUGUAAAACUCUUAGAAGAUAACAUAGGAGAAAAUCUAGGUCAUCUUGGGUAUGGCAAUGACUUUUUAGAUACAGUAUCAAAGACAUGAAUCAUGAAAGACAGAAUUGGUAAGCUGGACUUCAUUAAAGUUAAAAAUUUCUGCUCUGUGAAAGACACUGUCAAGAUGGUAAGAUAAGACACAGACUGGGAGAAAAUAUUUACAAAAGAUAUACCUGAUAAAGUAAUGUUAACCAAAAUUUAACAAUGAACACUUAAAACCCAACAAUAAGAAAACAAACAAUCUAAUUUAAAAAUGGGCAAAAGACCUGAAUAGACACAUCACCGAAAAAGUUAUUAAGAUGGCAAAUAAGCAUAUGAUAUUCAACAUCAUAUGUCAUUAGGGAAUUGAAACAUAAAACAACAAGGCUAGGUGCAGUGGCUCACGCCUGUAAUCCCAACACUUCGGGAGGCCUUGGUGGGCAGAUCACUUGAGCCUAGGAGUUCAAGAUCAGUCUGGACAACAUGGUGAAACCCUGCCUCUACAAAAAAAUUAGCCAGGCAUGGUGGUGCAUGCUUGUAGUGCCAGCUACUUGGGAGGUUGAGGUGGGAGGAUCAUCUGAGCCCAGGGUCGAUGCUGCAAUGAGCUGUGAUUGUGCCACUGCACUCCAGCCUUGGUGACAGAGUGAGACCCUGUCUCAAAGAACAAAGAAACAAACAAACGAAGAAAC